rnacentral:lncRNA from 1 species
UUUUGGGAAAGAUCCUGAGGCAGCAAUUUAGAGAGGAGACAGCGAUUUAGAGAGGGGGGAACAUCAAUACCUUGAUAUCUCAAUCGAUAAGGUAAGGGGGGAGAUUGCUUACUAUAUGGUGGGUUUUAGGCAGUAGAAUGAUGAGGGUUCUCUUACACUCUCAUCAACGUCAUGUUAUUGUUAUUUUUAUCUCUAUGAAAUGUUGGUCUGACCAUAUGGGGUUUGGACCAACCCCUUUGGUUUUUGGUUUUAUAGAAUAUGUUUUAUAUUAAAAUUUUGGUUUUAGGAGUCGAUCAUUGUUACAAUCUGUGCCCAAAUGGGAUAAUCCCAUUUGGUCACUUUUGGUGAUCAUAUGAUUAUCGAUAUGAUUUUUGUAUAGAUAAAAUGGUUUUUGGUGAUUUGUUAAUAAAAUUAAAUAUUGAUGUUAAACCACAGUAUGAUAUGAAAUUGCAUGUUGGUGAUAAACCCUUUUGGUCAAUUAUAUAUGAUAAUAUCUCAGAAGUGUUUAUAGAGAUAAUCUCAUUUGGUCACUCUUUGUGUUUUUUUAUGGUUCUGUUAACCGUAACCCCUUUUGGGGGAAAAUCUAAAAACUCUAAAAUUUGAGAAUUUGUGAUUGGGAAUGGUAUGAUGUAAGAAUUCUACAUUAGGAGGGCUGAUUGCACGUAUCGAAGGAGAAGUCGUGUUUCAGAGCGGUUUAGUAGAAUAUAUUCUACGUUAAAAAUAUAUUUUCCUUUUAAAAUCAAAUAAAUAUUUUAUUUAAAUAUUAAAG